rnacentral:rRNA from 1 species
UACGAAGGGUCCAAGCGUUGUUCGGAAUCAUUGGGCGUAAAGCGCGCGCAGGCGGAUCAGCAAGUCAGAUGUGAAAUCUCGGAGCUCAACUUCGAAACUGCGUCUGAAACUGCUAGUCUAGAAUGUCGGAGGGGGCAGGGGAAUUUCACGUGUAGGGGUAAAAUCCGUAGAGAUGUGAAGGAACACCGGGGGCGAAGGCGCCUGCCUGGACGACUAUCGACGCUGAGGCGCGAAAGCGUGGGGAGCAAACAGG